rnacentral:rRNA from 1 species
GUAAUUCCAGUAUUCAAUAGCGUAUACUAAAGUUGUUGCAGUUAAAAAGCUCGUAGUUGAAUUUCUGGCCUUGGGUCUCGGUCCGCCUCAAACGAGGUGCGUACCAGGGACCUGAGGCCAUCCUCGGGGAAAACAUAUCUGUCAUUAAGUUAAUGGGUAUGGGAUCCCCGUCAUUUACCGUGAGCAAAAUAGGGUGUUCAAAGCAGGCUUAUGCCGUUGAAUACAUUAGCAUGGAAUAAUAAGAUAGGACCUUGGUCUAUUUUGUUGGUUUGUACUCCAAGGUAAUGAUUAAUAGGGCCAGUCGGGGGCAUUAGUAUUCUAUAGUCAGAGGUGAAAUUCUUGGAUUUAUAGAAGACUAACUAAUGCGAAAGCAUUUGCCAAGGAUGUUUUCAUUAAUCAAGAACGAAAGUUAGGGGAUCGAAGACGAUUAGAUACCGUCGUAGUCUUAACCAUAAACUAUGCCGAC